AUUAUCAAAAGUAUUUGAUUAUUAAUUUGAAAGAUAAUCAAAAUAUUAUACAAAAUGUUUAAUAAAGUUUAUAUUUUGCUGAUUCUCGUUCUCGUCAGUGUCUUCACUACGAUAAGCGCACAGUAUGGAGGAGGUUAUGGAGGAAGAUAUGGUGGGGGCGGUAGAUAUGGAGGCGGAAGAUAUGGAGGCGGUGGACGUUACGGUGGAGGUAGACGUUAUGGCGGACGUGGAGGUUAUUAUGGAUAAAAAAAUGAACAACAAUUCAGAUCAUAAUUUAAACUUAAUUUAAGUUUAGAUAUUGUAAAUUACAAUCAACAAGAUAUAUAUCUAUAAUUAGUAUUUAAAUAUUUGUUCAAAUCCUUAAAUAAAAUGUAAUCGAUAUAACUAAAUGUAUGUAAAGAUAUUAAGUUAUUAAUAACAAUAUUUAUUUAAUUAAUAAAGUUUAAUAUUGCAAGCA